GCGGGUUUAGCUCAGUUGGGAGAGCGUCAGACUGAAGUCCACUUCACUCAUGAAUCUGAAGGUCGUGUGUUCGAUCCACACAAACCGCA
rfam:Neurospora tetrasperma FGSC 2509 unplaced genomic scaffold NETTE2scaffold_3, whole genome shotgun sequence.